AGCUAGCGGCAGGCUAACACAUGCAAGUCGAGGGGUAGAGGAAGCUUGCUUCCUUGAGACCGGCGCACGGGUGCGUAACGCGUAUGCAAUCUACCUUGUACAGGGGGAUAGCCCAGAGAAAUUUGGAUUAAUACCCCAUAGUAUAUAACCUUCGCAUGUUGGUUAUAUUAAAGUUCCAACGGUACAAGAUGAGCAUGCGUCCCAUUAGUUAGUUGGUAAGGUAACGGCUUACCAAGACGAUGAUGGGUAGGGGUCCUGAGAGGGAGAUCCCCCACACUGGUACUGAGACACGGACCAGACUCCUACGGGAGGCAGCAGUGAGGAAUAUUGGGCAAUGGAGGCAACUCUGACCCAGCCAUGCCGCGUGCAGGAAGACGGUCCUAUGGAUUGUAAACUGCUUUUAUACAGGAAGAAACACCGCUACGUGUAGCGGCUUGACGGUACUGUAGGAAUAAGGAUCGGCUAACUCCGUGCCAGCAGCCGCGGUAAUACGGAGGAUCCAAGCGUUAUCCGGAAUCAUUGGGUUUAAAGGGUCCGUAGGCGGCCUUAUAAGUCAGUGGUGAAAUCUCCUAGCUCAACUAGGAAACUGCCAUUGAUACUGUAGGGCUUGAAUUAUUGUGAAGUAACUAGAAUAUGUAGUGUAGCGGUGAAAUGCUUAGAUAUUACAUGGAAUACCAAUUGCGAAGGCAGGUUACUAACAAUUGAUUGACGCUGAUGGACGAAAGCGUGGGGAGCGAACAGGAUUAGAUACCCCUGGUAGUCCACGCCGUAAACGAUGGAUACUAGCUGUUCGGACGCAAGUUUGAGUGGUUAAGCGAAAGUGAUAAGUAUCCCACCUGGGGAGUACGCACGCAAGUGUGAAACUCAAAUGAAUUGACGGAAGGGCGAAUUCCAGC
rnacentral:rRNA from 1 species